rnacentral:rRNA from 1 species
CACGUAGGCGGAUCAGAAAGUCAGAGGUGAAAUCCCAGGGCUCAACCUUGGAACUGCCUUUGAAACUCCUGAUCUUGAGGCCGAGAGAGGUGAGUGGAAUUCCGAGUGUAGAGGUGAAAUUCGUAGAUAUUCGGAGGAACACCAGUGGCGAAGGCGGCUCACUGGCUCGAUACUGACGCUGAGGUGCGAAAGCGUGGGAGCAAACA